rnacentral:misc_RNA from 1 species
AACUUCCGGCAACGGAUCUCUUGGUUCUGGCAUCGAUGAAGAACGCAGCGAAAUGCGAUAAGUAAUGUGAAUUGCAGAAUUCAGUGAAUCAUCGAAUCUUUGAACGCACAUUGCGCCCCGUGGUAUUCCGCGGGGCAUGCCUGUUCGAGCGUCAUUUCAACCCCUCAAGCUUCGGCUUGGUCUUGGAGCCUGCGGUCUCGCAGCCCCUAAACUCAGUGGCGGUGCUAUUGAGCUCUGAGCGUAGUAAAUCUCCUCGCUAUAGAGCCUCGGUAGUUGCUUGCCAACAACCCCCAAUUUUUAUCAGGUUGACCUCGGAUCAGGUAGGGAUACCCGCUGAACUUAAGCAUAUCAAUAAGCGGAGGCU